AACGAACGCUGGCGGCAUGCCUAACACAUGCAAGUCGAACGAGACCUUCGGGUCUAGUGGCGCACGGGUGCGUCACGCGUGGGAACCUGCCCUUAGGUUCGGAAUAACUCCCCGAAAGGGGUGCUAAUACCGGAUAAUGUCUUCGGACCAAAGAUUUAUCGCCCUUGGGUGGGCCCGCGUUGGAUUAGCUAGUUGGUAGGGUAAAAGCCUACCAAGGCGACGAUCCAUAGCUGGUCUGAGAGGAUGAUCAGCCACACUGGGACUGAGACACGGCCCAGACUCCUACGGGAGGCAGCAGUGGGGAAUAUUGGACAAUGGGCGAAAGCCUGAUCCAGCUAUGCCUCGUGAGUGAUGAAGGCCUUAGGGUUGUAAAGCUCUUUUACCCGGGAUGAUAAUGACAGUACCGGGAGAAUAAGCUCCGGCUAACUCCGUG
rnacentral:rRNA from 1 species